rnacentral:rRNA from 1 species
CCCUUAGAUGUUCUGGGCCGCACGCGUGCUACACUGAGUGGAUCAGCGGGCCAGGUUGCGCGAAAGUGUUUCCUAAUCUUGAAAUCCGCUCGUGAUGGGGAUUGACGGUUGCAAUUUUCUGUCAUGAACGAGGAAUACCUUGUAAGCGCGGGUCAUCAUCCCGCGCUGAAUACGUCCCUGCCCUUUGUACACACCGCCCGUCGCUCCUACCGAUUGAGUGGUCCGGUGAGGCUUUGGGAUCUGAGCGGAAAGAGCGUUUCGCUGUUUCUGCUCGGAAAACUCAGUCGAACCUUAUCAUUUAGAGGAAGGAGAAGUCGUAACA